GAGGAACCAUUUUGUUAAUUCUUCCCUCUUAUCUACAUUUAUUUCAAGAUCACUGUGACCUCCUUGAUGGUGUGUGUGCUGUGGGUGGCCAACCAAGCCCCAAACUAGAAAGACUAGCAGGCCCCUUGAGAAUAACCUGAAAUAUGAGACAAGUAUCCUUCUAGGCAGAAGGAAAAUGUCCUUCUCCCUUGUCCCACAAUCCAUCUCCCACACACUCAGAGGCUGCUGUUUGUCAUAGAGCUCAACCAUGCCAAGCUCUGCAGCCUUCUAAAGAUUAAAACACUCUCUCUCUCAAGAGCAAUUAACCUAUUUUCUUUACCACCUUGCGUGGUAGAAGGUUGCCUGCCAACCUUUUAUUGACUGACACAUAAUUUCAUGUUUAUGUCUCUCUUUUUUUUCCAUUUAAAAACUAGCGUAGUUUUCCUUUUAAGUGUGCCACCACCUCGCCCCACCCCCAGGAUCCUUCACACUGGGCAAAAAACCAGAAUCAACUAGCAUCUUCCAUUAAUGCAUACAAACUGUAAGGCCACCAGGCCUUAUACUCUCAUUCCCUGGCACAACCUGUGUUUUCCCAGGCCCUCAAAGCCCCAGGGAUAAGGCAAACAAGCAGAGGUCAUGGCUGCAGUGAUCAUGGGUCCCUGUGGUGAACCCCUGGAACCUCAGGCUGACAGCCCCUCCCAGCUUCCUCAGAGGGCCUCAGGGACCUCCCUUCCACUCUCAAGUGAGCAAUACAAGUCCGUCCUUCACACUUCUUCACUCUCCAUGCCCCUCCUGGUGUCAUGAUCUCCAAAUAGACUCCUAGAUGCUGACCUGAUGUGGCCCUACCUGGCAGAGAUGAUGGCUCCCAUCUCAGAGGCAGGGACAUACUGAUCCUGCUAUGCUUUGCUUUCACCUGUUGCUCCGCUAAGCUGGGAAACGCCUUGUCCUCCGUUGUUGGGUACGCCUCACCCAGGCAUCUGCAGCACCCUGCAUCUAGCACAGGUUGUCAGGGUCCUGUUUCCAUACUUUGAUCCCAAAGAGGAAAUUCUCAGAUAGCUUUGGGCCAGCUAAGUCUAGAGUGUCCGGUGCACUUGAAAAUGACUCACUAAUAAAAAUGGACACAUCCCUUCUGUAAAAUGGUUUGGCACAUAGAUAGCAAAGCUAUAGCAUUUGCCAAAAAUUAGACACAUUUACAUAACAGCACCAUCUCCAGAUAUAAGAAGCAGUAUCAGAUGUUGAAAAUUAUUCUAACUGAUAUGGAAGGGGAGUGAUCACAGGCCAGAUAGCCUGAUGCAUGCCUGUAAUCUGAAUACUUAGGUAGCUGAGGCAGAAAAUCAUGGAUUCAAAGACAGUCUGACCCACACUGGAAAAUUUAAGCAACAGAAAUUGACUGUCUCGCUGUCUUGGAAGAAAAGUCUCAACUAAGGGGGCUGGCAUAGGUGAUGCCUACCUAGGACAUCUUUCUUCAUGGUCCUUCUGUCUUCACAUAAUUUGUUUUUCUCUAGCUGUAUGUGUACUUUAUUGGGAUAUGGAACAUGAACCAUACUCAAUUUAGACAUACCUUAAUAACUUCGUUUUUAAGUUAACCACUUCUUUAAAUACUCUGUCUUCAAAUACAGUAGCAUUUAGAGGGAUGCUGGGCAUAAGGGUUGCAACACAUGAAUUGGAAAAGGCAAACCCAGUUCAGCACCUGGCAAGACUUCUGCUUCUAUAACAGGUUCCCUGGCUGGCUGAAGGGUGUCCCUGUCUUCAACCUCGACCCUAGGUUCACACUAUACUAAGUCUACAAUUAUUAUACAUUGCUAUGGACCCUUAUCCUGAUAACAUGAAAUCUGAAACUUUUAUUUGUCUCCUUGCUGUGAGGUCAUUUUGUUUGGCUGAGCACAUUUAAUUAUAAAAUCCAUAGAUACUAGAUUUUGAACAUAGAAAAAUGAAUUCUAUACUGUGCUGUUUAGCCUGAAGGAAAGAAAAUUCCAAAGACUAGAAUCACCACUACCUAUCCUAGCAUUUUCUGUUUCUCCAAAGGUAUCUCAGAAGUCAGAUAUUAAAAAAAAAAUUAAAAAUCCUGUUUUACCAAAUCACAGAUUGGAAAGGUCAUACAUGCUAGAUCAUUUCAUACAAGUGCAAUUCGGUUUGCUUAGAAAAGAAUUGCUUUUCCCUGGCUGAGCCCCUUCUCAAUCGAUUCUGAACUCCCCAAGUGGGGACAGGGCUGAUUGCUGCCCUGUUGAAGGAGCUCCUCACUGGCAGGAGAUGGUAGCUCCUGACUUCUCCUUCAAUCCAAUAGCCAAAAGUCUUUACUUAUGAUUUAACUUGAAAUUGGGUCUUGGAAAUUUUCAAGUACAUUUUUU
rnacentral:lncRNA from 1 species